rnacentral:rRNA from 1 species
UAGGGAAUCUUCCACAAUGGACGAAAGUCUGAUGGAGCAACGCCGCGUGAGUGAAGAAGGGUUUCGGCUCGUAAAGCUCUGUUGGUAGUGAAGAAAGAUAGAGGUAGUAACUGGCCUUAUUUGACGGUAAUUACUUAGAAAGUCACGGCUAACUACGUGCC